UACGUAGGGUGCAAGCGUUAAUCGGAAUUACUGGGCGUAAAGCGUGCGCAGGCGGCUAUGCAAGACAGAUGUGAAAUCCCCGGGCUUAACCUGGGAACUGCAUUUGUGACUGCAUGGCUAGAGUACGGUAGAGGGGGAUGGAAUUCCGCGUGUAGCAGUGAAAUGCGUAGAUAUCAGGAGGAAUACCGAUGGCGAAGGCAGGUCUCUGGGCUGACACUGACGCUCAUGCACGAAAGCGUGGGGAGCAAACAGG
rnacentral:rRNA from 1 species